rnacentral:rRNA from 1 species
CUACGGGUGGCUCCAGUGGGGAAUAUUGGACAAUGGGGGAAACCCUGAUCCAGCAAUGCCGCGUGUGUGAAGAAGGCCUGCGGGUUGUAAAGCACUUUCGGUUGGGAGGACUGCUUCUAGCACUAAUAUUGUUGGAAGUUGACGUUACCUUCAGAAGAAGCACCGGCUAACUCCGUGCCAGCAGCCGCGGUAAUAGCGGAGGGUGCAAGCGUUAAUCGGAAGUACUGGGCGUAAAGCGCGCGUAGGCGGCUAGAUCAGUCGGGUGUGAAAGCCCCGGGCUUAACCUGGGAACUGCAUCCGAUACUGUCUAGCUUGAGUACAGGAGAGGAGGGUGGAAUUCCACAUGUAGCGGUGAAAUGCGUAGAUAUGUGGAGGAACACCAAUGGCGAAGGCAGCUCUCUGGCCUGAUACUGACGCUGAGGUGCGAAAGCGUGGGGAGCAAACAGGAUUAGAUACCCGCGUAGUC